rnacentral:rRNA from 1 species
CGGCGUCGAGCGGCGGACGGGUGAGUAAUGCCUAGGAAAUUGCCCUGAUGUGGGGGAUAACCAUUGGAAACGAUGGCUAAUACCGCAUGAUGCCUACGGGCCAAAGAGGGGGACCUUCGGGCCUCUCGCGUCAGGAUAUGCCUAGGUGGGAUUAGCUAGUUGGUGAGGUAAGGGCUCACCAAGGCGACGAUCCCUAGCUGGUCUGAGAGGAUGAUCAGCCACACUGGAACUGAGACACGGUCCAGACUCCUACGGGAGGCAGCAGUGGGGAAUAUUGCACAAUGGGCGCAAGCCUGAUGCAGCCAUGCCGCGUGUGUGAAGAAGGCCUUCGGGUUGUAAAGCACUUUCAGUCGUGAGGAAGGUAGUGUAGUUAAUAGCUGCAUUAUUUGACGUUAGCGACAGAAGAAGCACCGGCUAACUCCGUGCCAGCAGCCGCGGUAAUACGGAGGGUGCGAGCGUUAAUCGGAAUUACUGGGCGUAAAGCGCAUGCAGGUGGUUUGUUAAGUCAGAUGUGAAAGCCCGGGGCUCAACCUCGGAAUUGCAUUUGAAACUGGCAGACUAGAGUACUGUAGAGGGGGGUAGAAUUUCAGGUGUAGCGGUGAAAUGCGUAGAGAUCUGAAGGAAUACCGGUGGCGAAGGCGGCCCCCUGGACAGAUACUGACACUCAGAUGCGAAAGCGUGGGGAGCAAACAGGAUUAGAUACCCUGGUAGUCCACGCCGUAAACGAUGUCUACUUGGAGGUUGUGGCCUUGAGCCGUGGCUUUCGGAGCUAACGCGUUAAGUAGACCGCCUGGGGAGUACGGUCGCAAGAUUAAAACUCAAAUGAAUUGACGGGGGCCCGCACAAGCGGUGGAGCAUGUGGUUUAAUUCGAUGCAACGCGAAGAACCUUACCUACUCUUGACAUCCAGAGAACUUUCCAGAGAUGGAUUGGUGCCUUCGGGA